GACGAACCGUGCAAACGUUAUUCGGAAUUACUGGGCGUAAAGCGCACGUAGGCGGUCUGUUAUGUCGGAUGUGAAAGCCCUUGGCUCAACUGAGGAAGUGCAUCCGAAGCUGGCAGGCUAGAGUACGAAAGAGGAUCGCGGAAUUCCCGGUGUAGAGGUGAAAUUCGUAGAUAUCAUCAGGAAUACCGGAGGCGAAGGCGGCUCACUGGGGGUCUUCUGACGCUGAGGAACGAAAGCCAGGGGAGCGAACGGG
rnacentral:rRNA from 1 species